UACGUAGGGCGCAAGCGUUGUCCGGAAUUAUUGGGCGUAAAGAGCUCGUAGGCGGCUUGUCACGUCGGGUGUGAAAGACCGGGGCUUAACCCCGGUUCUGCAUUUGAUACGGGCUAGCUAGAGUGUGGUAGGGGAGAUCGGAAUUCCUGGUGUAGCGGUGAAAUGCGCAGAUAUCAGGAGGAACACCGGUGGCGAAGGCGGGUCUCUGGGCAACAACUGACGCUGAGGAGCGAAAGCGUGGGGAGCGAACAGG
rnacentral:rRNA from 1 species